GAAGAGCCUGCAGAGCAAGCUGCUGUUAUGUAAGCUGUUGGAACAGUUGUUGGACUAUGCAUGUCCACAGAAAAUCUCUGUGCCCAUGUCGCUCAGCCUGCUGCUGCACUUUCUGAAGAACUGCACUCUGGCACCAGACCCAACGGAUGGGACUGAAAGGUGGCAGAGGUGGGAGGAGUUGAUCCACCUCCUCUGGAUGUUGCUGCUCAGCUAUAAUAACGCGAUGAAAGGCUACCUGAACAGUUCGUCCAUCGAACAACGAGGCAAAGCCGGAACUUUAGU